rnacentral:lncRNA from 1 species
GCGUCGAUGCGGAGGAGGAGGUGUUGCGAGCUGGAGGAGAUCUCGAAGGAUGGAGGAGGAGGCGAGAUCUGGUGCAGCAGAGCAACGAAUGCGGUGGGGACUCCUCGGCUCCUCGGCCUCCGGCGGCCGAGAAUCGAAGUCCGAUGAGUAUUCCAGCGAGUAAUCUCCGCCGCCGGAGGAGAUGAUACUACUGGAGGCAGACGCGGUGGUGGCAGCCUUGUAGUUGCUGCUCUCCGAGAAUCAGAGGGCGGCGACGGGGCGGCAGAGAGCUGCUACUGUUGGCCGCCGCCGAAAAACGUGAGGGAGAGG